CUCACAGGGUGUUUGUUUUGAGGGGGGAAGGGCAAGGAGAUUGUAAAUCCCUUUGAGUCUCCUGCAGGAGAGAAAGGGGGUAUAUAAAUGCAAACUCUUCUUUUUCUUCUUCUUUGUUCGAGUAACUGCCGGACAAGUAUGCAACAGUGGUCUCUAGUGCUGUAUUCAUGGAACCCACUGUCCCUGCUAGUUGGUUUUCUGGUGCCCUUUGGCUGCUUCUAUAAAUCACGGCUUCCCCAAAACAAGGAGCCAGCCCUAGCUUUCCUGCAACCUACAAGUCAUCACCUUUUGAGUCUGCUGGGCUUAGGAGUUAUUGAUGUCAGGGUGGGGUGUGGAGUCUUCCCAUAAUUACAACUGACCUUCACACUACGAAGAUCAGUUCCGCUGGAGUAAAUGACCAGUUUAGAGGGCACCCUUUUUGGCACCCCCUCCUGCUGAGCUCCUAUCUUCUCCAGGCACUGCCCACAAAUCUCUAGGAAUUGCCCAAGCUGAUGUUGGCAAUUCUAGCAAGGACUUCUCAUUUAUAAACAGCUGCCUUAAUCAUGAGAGGGAUGCUUGGCUUGCAACCUCCUAACAUGUAGUGAUUUGCCUCAGUACCCCACAUGGUAGCAAUUUGGCAGUGCUUACCUUCUGCUGUCAAAUUUUAAUGUGUCCAGUGCUGAACCAGACUGUGGAUCUCUGAUUUAUAGUGUAAGGAAAAGGCACACCAUAUUUAAAAGGACAGAAUUUGUCAUCCAGUCUAGACACUGUUCCAUAGUUAAGGCCAAAAAGCAUUCCCUAUACCUCCCCAGCUGCAGACAGUACUACAGUAGCUACAGGUUUUAUUGUUAAAUUGUGCAGUUUUGCUCUUCAAUUUAGAUUUUUAUAACACAUGGUUUAAUGCAUCUGUUUCAUGUGUACCAAUUUUUUGAUGUUACGAAUUGUGAGCAAAUGAAACUGUGUUACGGGAAAAAUUCUUCAGUCUGUGCUGAGGAAGGAAUUUCUUAAAUGUAAGUAUUCUGAAAUCUUAUUAAGUGUGCAGAUGGUCAUAUUAAACCAUUAACAGAGCAAUGGGUUCAAAAUAUUUUUUCCAGUCAAACUUGGAUUCAGAAAUAGCAAAUGACAUAAUGAUUUCCCUGUAAGUUCUACCUUCAUGAGUACAGAAAAGGGAAAUUACCCUUGAGCCAGAGGAGUUGUGUACACUGUUGAAAUGGUAUAGGUGCUGCUUGUCCCAAUCACCUUUGGAGAUGGGGCUGAAUCCAGAUACCUUCCCACCCCCAGUGACUGACCUUUUUCGAAGGUGGAGAAAAAUUCCAUGCGCAUACUUUCCCAGUAGGACCAAAAUGUAUGCCUGACUGGAACAUACUUUUAUAUGAAUUCAAUAGGCAUUUACUUGUGAAAUAUGACGAUUGGUGUUGUUGGUAGUAACUGUUUAAUUUAAAUUAUGUUUUCCCCUUUCACUUGUACCUUAGAGCCUAAUGUUAUUUUGAAAAACUGGUCACAGUUUGCGGCAAUUUAAAAUUGGAUAAAUUACAAAUAUAAUUCUUGAAUCAUCUUGCACUAUUGACUAAUUUUUCUGUAAUAUGGAUAUCAGCUAUUAUUCUACAUGCACUUUGUUAUUCUUUAUAAAAUAAAAAAAGAUUUUAUCUA